UACCAGCUCUCCGAGUUGUAGGGAUGAUUAUUGGGCUUAAAGCGUCCGUAGCCGGCUUGGCAAGUCUCCUGUUAAAUUCAGCGACCUAAUCGUUGAGCCGCGGGAGAUACUACUAGGCUAGGAGGCGGGAGAGGUCGACGGUACUUUCGGGGUAGGGGUGAAAUCCUAUAAUCCCGGGAGGACCACCAGUGGCGAAGGCUGUCGACUAGAACGCGCUCGACGGUGAGGGACGAAAGCUGGGGGAGCGAACCGGAUUAGAUACCCGGGUAGUCCCAGCUGUAAACGAUGCGGGCUAGGUGUUGGGGUGGCUACGGGCCACUUCAGUGCCGCAGGGAAGCCAUUAAGCCCGCCGCCUGGGGAGUACGGCCGCAAGGCUGAAACUUAAAGGAAUUGGCGGGGGAGCACCACAAGGCGUGAAGCUUGCGGUUC
rnacentral:rRNA from 1 species